UCGAACGCUUCUUUUUCCACCGGAGCUUGCUCCACCGGAAAAAGAGGAGUGGCGAACGGGUGAGUAACACGUGGGUAACCUGCCCAUCANAAGGGGAUAACACUUGGAAACAGGUGCUAAUACCGUAUAACAAUCGAAACCGCAUGGUUUUGAUUUGAAAGGCGCUUUCGGGUGUCGCUGAUGGAUGGACCCGCGGUGCAUUAGCUAGUUGGUGAGGUAACGGCUCACCAAGGCGACGAUGCAUAGCCGACCUGAGAGGGUGAUCGGCCACAUUGGGACUGAGACACGGCCCAAACUCCUACGGGAGGCAGCAGUAGGGAAUCUUCGGCAAUGGACGAAAGUCUGACCGAGCAACGCCGCGUGAGUGAAGAAGGUUUUCGGAUCGUAAAACUCUGUUGUUAGAGAAGAACAAGGAUGAGAGUAACUGUUCAUCCCUUGACGGUAUCUAACCAGAAAGCCACGGCUAACUACGUGCCA
rnacentral:rRNA from 1 species